UACGGAGGGUGCAAGCGUUACUCGGAAUCACUGGGUGUAAAGGGAGCGUAGGCGGGGAUGCAAGUUGGGUGUCAAAACUACCGGCUCAACCGAUAGUCGCACUCAAAACUGCAGCUCUUGAGUGAAGUAGAGGCAGGCGGAAUUCCUAGUGUAGCGGUGAAAUGCGUAGAUAUUAGGAGGAACACCAGUGGCGAAGGCGGCCUGCUGGACGGUGACUGACGCUGAGGCUCGAAAGCGUGGGGAGCAAACAGG
rnacentral:rRNA from 1 species